CCCAAAGACUAUGGGUUAAGGUAAGUUUUAUAGAAGAGUCUAUUUAUAAAUAAGGGUGUAGUCUAUAUUCAUCCUUUCCAUUGGUCAGUUGUUAUUGUGUGGUCUGAGUUGUCCAUUCAGGCGGGAAAACCUUUGUUUCAAUCUAUUCAUAGCUACAUUCUGAGAAGGGUGUUGUCAGAGAUCUGUGUGUCUAUAUUAAAAACCUGAUAUUAAAUUUUGGAGUAAAUUAAACACCCAUAAACUGUAAGUAAACCUUUUCUUAAACUGAAUAAAUGAUCAUAAACUUCAAUUAAAAGAUAGUGAAUGAAUUAAGUAUUUUAAACUUAAACUUGCUAAACAAGUAUGAAUGUGAUAGAGUGAAAGUUUUAAAGUUAUAAAAGUAAAGAUUGAUAUAUUGAAAGUUAUAUGAGCAAGUUAUAUUUUAAUCUAAUUCAUGUAGAUCUUUAGAAUUGAGAUCUGAGUUUGAAUUAUUAUGAUUUUAUUAUUUGUUAAUUCAUUAGGUCUGUCAUCAUGUAAUUAAUUGAUUCUAAAUCCCCAUCAAGUGAUCACUCAGUUCCAUACACUGGGUUGAUUUCCAUUGAUUUCCACUUAUUUCCAUUGAUUUUCAACUUAUUUAUUUCAUCUUUAAUUCAUCUAUCUCCAUGGAAUAAACGAAUCUAACCCCGUACCGACUUGUUGAUCUUAAUUUCUACAAGAACCGGUUACAAAAAUGGCGCCCAACGGAAAUUGGAGAUAAUUACACCUGGUGGUUCUGCCCGCGCGCUCCAGAAGUGCACUGACUUGGCCAUUCCAUCCAUUACUUCGUAUUCGGCGCCUUGUGACGUCACAGGAAGUUCAUUCUAGGAAUUGCGCAAGACCCGUAUACAUGUGAAUAUUUGUGUUUGUGUUGUGCUUGUGAUAUUAUAUGCGUGAAAUUGUGUUGUGUUUGUGUAUUUGGAUAAUUCACUACCAUGCAUGGUCCGGUCUGUCAUCAUGUAAUUAAUUGAUUCUAAAUCCCCAUCAAGUGAUCACUCAGUUCCAUACACUGGUAUGUUUAAAUUCAUAUUCUUCAAGUAUUGUAAAUAGAUAAUUGAUAAAUGUAAAAGAAAUAUAAUCUUUAGUAAAUUUGAAUUUCAAAGAGUUAUUGCCCUUUGAAUGUGUUUAGUACAAAUGUAAAGUAAUGGCCUAAAUGAAUGUUUUAUGUGUUUAAAUUGAAAUCGUUUUGUGUUGUAAAGUGAAUGUGCUUGUCUUUAUGUUGUCUAUGUGUUUAUACGUUGUUAUUGUUAUUUUAGGGUUGAUUUCCAUUGAUUUCCAUUUAUUUCCAUUGAUUUUCAACUUAUUUAUAUCAUCUUUAAUUCAUCUAUCUCCAUGGAAUAAACGAAUCCAACCCCGUACCGACUUGUUAAUCUUAAUUUCUACAAGAACCGGU